rnacentral:rRNA from 1 species
CUCCUUUGACGUUAGCGGCGGACGGGUGAGUAACACGUGGGUAACCUACCUAUAAGACUGGGAUAACUUCGGGAAACCGGAGCUAAUACCGGAUAACAUUUGGAACCGCAUGGUUCUAAAGUGAAAGAUGGUUUUGCUAUCACUUAUAGAUGGACCCGCGCCGUAUUAGCUAGUUGGUAAGGUAACGGCUUACCAAGGCGACGAUACGUAGCCGACCUGAGAGGGUGAUCGGCCACACUGGAACUGAGACACGGUCCAG